ensembl:lncRNA mucin-1-like
AGAACCUCCUCAUAAAUCAAACCACCCCUGAGGCCACGCCCCCUUCAAUAAAGCCGGACCUCUCUCUCUUCAUCACCACAUUGGGAACGUCACGUUCAGCCUCAGAGAGACAAGCACGAGCCCCACCCGCACCUGAGACCUCCCGGUACCCGUCACUUCUUCACUCCUUCACUCCUUCACCUUCACGGGCAAGAAACGGCAGCGCGAGCCCCGGGUUUGAACCCCUCCGUCAGAACACCGUGUUCUCAUGAUGAUGAUGUCAUACCUGUGGAUCCUGCUCAUAGGUAGCCUGUUGGCUGCACACACCAAUGCACAAGAUGAUGCAACUUUAGCCGAGGAGGUGGCAACAGAAACCACCACAGAUACUGAACCAGACAUUAAGGAAGACCCAUCAGCACCAAGUGACCCCGCUACUAGCACAGGGGAAGAAGAAGAUCCAAGCAAUCCUACGGAUGACGAUGGAGUUCUUGUAGCUUCUGCAGUUGAAGAAACUGAUCCUCCAGCUGUGGAAGAAACAGAUUCUCCAACAGACGCAGGGGCAGAUCUUCCCACAGAGGGACAAACUGAUUCUCCAGCAGAGGUUGAAACAGAGCCUGCUGCAGUUGGACAGACUGAUCCUCCAACAGAGGCUGGAGCUGAUCUACCAAUAGAAGAAAAGACAGAGGGAGGGACUGACCUGGUAGCAGAGGUAGAGACAGAUCCUCCAACAGAGGGACAGACGGACCUUCCAACAGAAGAAAAGACUGAUCCUCCAACAGAGACUGAGACAGAUCCACCAACGGACGGAGGGGCUGAUACUUCAACAGAGAAGGAAACAGAUCCUCCAACAGAGGGAGGACCCAAUCCUCCAUUAGAUAGCGAUGCAGCACCAGAGAUUCCUACAGGUGGAGAUACCGAUGUUACAACUGUCUUGACUGACGCUUCCUCCGUUGGAGCAGUAGAAACUCCUACAGAUGUGGUUUCUGUAGACGGAAAUGCAGCAUCAGCAACUUCCACAGGAGACACCGACACUGAAGAGGCAACAUCAACAUCAGCUUUGGUCCCGGGGGCUGGAGAUACAGAGGAGAAUCCCACCUCAGGUGCUAAUACAACGGCUGCCAAAGAUGAGAGCGGAGCAGAUGAUAAGUCCUCACCAGCAACAGAUGUUGAACCCAGUAAGGAGGAAGAACCCACAGAUCCAGCAGCUAAUGAAGACACGUCCAAAUCAGCCACUGAAGAAAUUGUCAAAGCAGAAACUCAACCAAAAGUAGACGCUGAAGUUUCAACGUCUGAUAUGGCAGUUAUUGUACCGGGAGUGAAAACAGAGCUCGGGUUUAACUUGGAAGAUGCUCUGGAUGCGGGGCCUGCAGCGGUCGACCCUCCACAACCAGGAGGAAAGAGCCGCAGUAUGGGAUCCGAUGGUGGGAUAGUUGGUGCAUCCGGAGGCGAAAAGCCUCAAGGCAAAGAAGCAGAUCCUGAGGCAGCACACAAAGCCAACGCAGCUGAGGCUCAGUCGGAUCCUCAGGUUCUCAACACAUUGUUGAACUCCUCCUAAAACCAGCAAUGAUCACCUGACUGCCUGGACCAACAGAAUUCAAGCAAAGUGGCAAUCUCACUGUUAGCCUCUACCUACGGUGGAGCUAAGUUACUGUGAGGCCCCUGAGUAGGGCUGUGUGUGUGUGUGUGUGUGUGUGUGUGUGUGUGUGUUUGUGUGUGUGUGUGUGUGUGUACAUAUGUGGAAACGAAGACUUGGACAAAGAUCAAUUAAAUGUGUGUGAACUUUAGGGUUUUUGGAUGAUCCCAACAAAGUCAAAACCUUCAGUGAAACUUGUACUUCAGAGUAGACAUAGGCAACCGGUGACCCGGGGGCCACAUGUGGCCCUCAGUGUUAUUUUAGAUGGCCCAUAAAGAAAAAAGCAGAAAAUGAGGCAGAAAUGUACAAAACAGCAAAAAAUACACAAAAUUACUCAAAAAAACAUACAAAAUUUUCCAAAAAAAAUUGCACAAAUGGUGAACAAAAUAAUAAAAAUGUACUCCAAAAACA